CCUACGGGGGGCAGCAGUGAGGAAUAUUGGUCAAUGGCCGAGAGGCUGAACCAGCCAAGUCGCGUGAGGGAAGACGGCCCUACGGGUUGUAAACCUCUUUUGUCGGGGAGCAAAGCGAACCACGUGUGGUUCAUUGAGAGUACCCGAAGAAAAAGCAUAGGCUAACUCCGUGCCAGCAGCCGCGGUAAUACGGAGGAUGCGAUCGUUAUCCGGAUUUAUUGGGUGUAAAGGGUGCGCAGGCGGAGGUGCAAGUCAGCGGUCAAAUUGCGGGGCUCAACCCCGUACUGCCGUUGAAACUGCAUCCCUUGAGUGCGCGAGAGGUGUGCGGAAUGCGUGGUGUAGCGGUGAAAUGCAUAGAUAUCACGCAGAACUCCGAUUGCGAAGGCAGCAUACCGGCGCCCAACUGACGCUGAAGCACGAAAGCGUGGGUAUCGAACAGGAUUAGAUACCCUUGUAGUC
rnacentral:rRNA from 1 species